rnacentral:rRNA from 1 species
GAUGAACGCUGGCGGCGUGCCUAAUACAUGCAAGUCGAGCGAACAGACGAGGAGCUUGCUCCUCUGACGUUAGCGGCGGACGGGUGAGUAACACGUGGAUAACCUACCUAUAAGACUGGGAUAACUUCGGGAAACCGGAGCUAAUACCGGAUAAUAUAUUGAACCGCAUGGUUCAAUAGUGAAAGACGGUUUUGCUGUCACUUAUAGAUGGAUCCGCGCCGCAUUAGCUAGUUGGUAAGGUAACGGCUUACCAAGGCAACGAUGCGUAGCCGACCUGAGAGGGUGAUCGGCCACACUGGAACUGAGACACGGUCCAGACUCCUACGGGAGGCAGCAGUAGGGAAUCUUCCGCAAUGGGCGAAAGCUUGACGGAGCAACGCCGCGGGAGUGAUGAAGGUCUUCGGAUCGUAAAACUCUGUAUUAGGGAAGAACAAAUGUGUAAGUAACUAUGCACGUCUUGACGGUACCUAAUCAGAAAGCCACGGCUAACUACGUG